AUAAAAGGAAGGUGAGCCAAGUUCGCAACGUCCUGUUGCAAGGCUCACCCAACUUGCGUCCAGCAAG
rnacentral:sRNA from 1 species